GGGCAGCUAACCCGCGAGGUCAAGCAAAUCCCAUAAAGUUGUUCUCAGUUCGGAUUGUAGUCUGCAACUCGACUACAUGAAGCUGGAAUCGCUAGUAAUCGUAGAUCAGCAUGCUACGGUGAAUACGUUCCCGGGUCUUGUACACACCGCCCGUCACACCACGAGAGUUUGUAACACCCGAAGCCGGUGGAGUAACCAUUUAUGGAGCUAGCCGUCGAAG
rnacentral:rRNA from 1 species